GUGCCAGCAGCCGCGGUAAUACGAAGGGGGCUAGCGUUGUUCGGAAUUACUGGGCGUAAAGCGCACGUAGGCGGGUUGUUAAGUCAGGGGUGAAAUCCCGGAGCUCAACUCCGGAACUGCCUUUGAUACUGGCAAUCUAGAGACUGGAAGAGGUUAGUGGAAUUCCCAGUGUAGAGGUGAAAUUCGUAGAUAUUGGGAAGAACACCAGUGGCGAAGGCGGCUAACUGGUCCAGUACUGACGCUGAGGUGCGAAAGCGUGGGGAGCAAACAGGAUUAGAUACCCUUGUAGUCC
rnacentral:rRNA from 1 species